UAUACGCUAACUCCCUUCAGAAAUGGUUUCAUUUCCAUUUUGUUUUCUCUCUCUAACCAUUUCAUCUCUCAUAUCUAUCUCUCUAAUUCUCCACCCUUGUUCUUAACCCGCCCCCCUUCUGGCCACCCUCAAACCUAUGUUUUCGAUUGAACUUCAACUGAAACCUACAAACCUUCAUCAACCUACCCAGAACCCUUUAGAACCCUAUCUAUAUUUAAGAACCCUAACCCCAAAUUAGAUUAACCAUAACCCUAACAUUCAUCCCAAAACCCAUACCUGUAAGAACCUUAACCCUAACUGAAGAACCCUAACUUCCAGCCUUUAAAACCCAAACCCAUAUCCCUUCAAAUCUUCAUAAUAUUCAUCAUGAACAUGAUGAAUCUUCAUCCCUAACCUCUGAACCCUAACUCUAUUUUUUCAGAAAUUCACCAAAUCAAGCCUAAACACAAUAAAAACAACAGUAAAUCAUAGAUCGUAACCUCCCAAUCCACAAUCAAACAUCAAAACAAAAAAAUCAAACCAAAAUUCCCAAAACCUCAAAACCCUAAAUUUUGUUAGACAUAAACUGAACCUUAACCGCAUUUAAAACAACAUAAAUCAACAACAUACAUCAAUAUAAAUUCCAAUCACAUAUAAGAAACAAUAACAAAAGUAAAGGUCGACAUCCACUAACCUACAGAGACGAGGAUCUUUCUGAUCCAAUGCAGGCUUAGCUCAAAUGCUUAGGGUUUCAAUGUGAAAACCCUAAGUAUCAGAAUUUUAAGAGCUUUAGUGGAGGUUGGGAUUGCAGCAACUAAGGGUUCAAUUUUUUUCUUUCGUCCCCUUCUUCUGAUUAUUCUUAGGUUUCUAUAGCUUAGAAAUUAGGUUAAAAAUAAUGUUUUAUUUGAUUGUUGUUGUAAAUCAAUGAGUGUUUUUAGGGUUUCCGGGUUUUGAUGUAUGUAGACGAAUUUGCUAUGUAAUUUUGGUUCUCAAAUGUAUCUGUAAUUGAUAAUGAAACUUUUUGAUAUUUUCUUCAA